rnacentral:tRNA from 1 species
UCCCUGGUCGUCCAGCGGUUAGGACACCACACUUCCACUGCAGGGGCCUUGGGUUCGAACCCUGGUCAGGGAA